CUCAAAUAUAAGGGAACGGCAGAAUCCUCGCUCCGAAGAAACGAGUAACACUCGACCCGUAAUCCUUGAGAAGCAGAGCGAGAUCAAGCUAAAGAGAUCUCCAAUUUACUAAUUUUGAUUCAGAAUGUUGGGUCGAAGCAGGUUCCUCUCCUUUCCCAUGGUAAUUGGUGCUGUCAUCAUUGGAGUUGUUUCUGGGAAAGCAAUAUUUGGGCCACCUCUUGAUGAAUACUGGAAAAAGAAGCUCGACGAAGAGGCAGCCGCGAAGGAGACAAGUACUAGUAGCUCAAGUUAGCAUAGGCGAGGAUAUUCAUGCUUAGCAACAUGAAUAUGUAGAGCUAGGAGAAAUAUUUUUGAUAAAACAAUCAUUGAAUAUGUAUAAUAUUAUAUAGAUAUUUAAGCGCUGGAUACCCAAGCAUUUGCAAGUUACCUUCUUUU